rnacentral:rRNA from 1 species
AUUUAAAUUUAAUGUUUUACAGAUUUAUAAUUUUUUAGGUGUAAUUAGAAAAUUUUAUAUCUAUAUAAUUUAAUUCGUAAGAUUUUGUUAUUAAACUAGAUUAGUACCUAGGUAAUAAAAAUUAAUUAUAGCAGGAGUAAAGUUAUAUUUAAACUGAAAGAAUAUUGGCAGGUUUUUAAAUUAUUUUUGGAGGUUGAAUUUUAAUUGAAAACCCUCAUUGUAUGCUUUAAUUGUUGUUUUAUGUAUGAUCGUUUAUUUUAUUGUUAAAGAUUGUAAUAUAAAAUUUUUUAUUAAUAAAAUAGAUAUAUACCUAGUUUAUAUUAAAGUAAAUUUGACCUACAAUAUAUUAUUAUGUGGAUUAGCUAAAGUUAUUUAUAUAUGAAAUUGUAAAAAACAGUAAAUUAAG